GCAGGAGAAAAUCGACUUCCUCAAGGUAACGAGAAGUUCGAGCUCCCAAGCUCGAGCACCAGGAGGAAGCAUCAAACUCAAGUGGCCUCGAAAAGAUCUUCGGUCAUGAACAAAAAAGGGCAAAUCAACGCGGCGACGAUCAGAAACUUUCAAACAACGUCAACAUCAAACAAGACAAAAGAUGAAAGAAACUCGAUAAACAACAACUCAAAGUAAGAAUAGACAAGGUAAUGAAAAAUUUUUUUCUCAUUUCAUUAGUAAAGUGUGCAUUACAAAGCCUUUGAAGGCCAAAAAUGAAAAGCGACAAGAAAAGAAUGCAUGGAAGAACAAAAGAUAAAAGAAGCUCUAAGGAAGCUCGGCUCCUUCCGACUUCGAGCUCUCGGUUCCAGUC
rnacentral:lncRNA from 1 species